rnacentral:rRNA from 1 species
UACGGGGGGGGCAAGCGUUGUUCGGAAUUACUGGGCGUAAAGGGCUCGUAGGCGGCCAACUAAGUCAGACGUGAAAUCCCUCGGCUUAACCGGGGAACUGCGUCUGAUACUGGAUGGCUUGAAUCCGGGAGAGGGAUGCGGAAUUCCAGGUGUAGCGGUGAAAUGCGCAGAUAUCAGGAGGAACACCGGUGGCGAAGGCGGGUCUCUGGGCCGAUACUGACGCUGAGGAGCGAAAGCGUGGGGAGCAAACAGG